rnacentral:rRNA from 1 species
GCCGGUCAUAAACCGGAGGAAGGUGGGGAUGACGGUCAAAGUCAGCAUGGCCUUUAUAUCCUGGGCUAUACACACGCUACAAUGGGAAGGGACAAUAGGUUGCGAAGCCGCGAGGCGGAGCCAAUCCAAGCAAAACUUCCCUCAGUUCAGAUUGCAGGCUGCAACUCGCCUGCAUGAAGUUGGAGUUGCUAGUAAACGCAGGUCAGCCAUACUGCGUUGAAUACGUUCCCGGGUCUU